UACGAAGGGUGCAAGCGUUACUCGGAAUUACUGGGCGUAAAGCGUGCGUAGGUGGUUUGUUAAGUCUGAUGUGAAAUCCCCGGGCUCAACCUGGGAAUUGCAUUUGUGACUGCACGGCUAGAGUGUGUCAGAGGGGGGUAGAAUUCCACGUGUAGCGGUGGAAUGCGCAGAUAUCAGGAGGAACACCGAUGGCGAAGGCAGGUCUCUGGGCAUUAACUGACGCUGAGGAGCGAAAGCAUGGGGAGCGAACAGG
rnacentral:rRNA from 1 species